rnacentral:rRNA from 1 species
GACGUAGGUGGCGAGCGUUGUUCGGAAUCACUGGGCAUAAAGCGCGCGUAGGCGGCCAAGUCAGUCAGGUGUGAAAGCCCUCGGCUCAACCGAGGAACUGCGCCUGAUACUGCUUGGCUUGAGGUCCGGAGGGGAGAGUGGAAUUCCCGGUGGAGCGGUGAAUGCGUAGAGAUCGGGAAGAACGCCGGCGGCGAAAGCGACUCUCUGGUCGGAAUCUGACGCUGAGGCGCGAAAGCUAGGGGAGCAAACGGG